GUAGGGGGCUAUUAUGGCUGUUGGAGCUUCAAAGCCUACUUCUAUUGCUGAUAAGGAUGGAUAUUUCAGUGUGAAAAGUCAAAUGCUGCAUUUCAAUUGGUCAAGCCAGACAUGGUAUCUUCUAUAUUCCACUUCUUUUAGCAGUCACAAGUUGGCUAAAACUCGAUAAGCAAAGCUUGGGCUCGGGCUUGAGCUAGCUUAAGCUCUACUCGUUUGCACCCCUACCUGUGAUUCAUGUGACUAAUCCUUGAGUUCUGCUGGAUCUAUUUCUCCUUUUUCAAGAGUGUUUGGAAAAGGUGAGUUGAUUGAUAACUAUUUUUAUAGUAACUGUUGUGCUCUUACUUUAUCAAAGACAUAUUGUCAAUUGGUAUUAUAGUAACUGUUGUUUGUCUGUUUGGAAUGCUUUAUUACCUGUAUAUUGUGGAGAUAGAACAAUCAAUAUUAGUUUUGCUAUGACGAAUUACAUUAUAUUCUAAGCAGGUGACAACAAUACUGAUCACCACACCAACCAGAAAGGGACCGGGUUCUCUAGUUACAAAGGAAAUUUUUAAGUUUGAGACGUUUAAACAAUAUCCGAUUAGUUGUUCGGAUGAUUUAACUUAUAUAUAUAGACCGGUGACUAGGACUUUUAGCAUAUUUACUGAGCUAGAACUGCUUUCAUGUAGCAUAUAAACAAUUGGUGAUUUGAUUCUCCUGGUGCCUGUUCUAUGUAGAUAGGGCUGAUGACUGCUGGCUUGCUACAUGCAAAGAUAACAUGAAUUGUGAUAUAACGUCUCCAUACUGUGGUGAAAACCUUAGCUCGCUUGGUCAAAACCUCAAGACAAGUACCUAUUUAUGGGAUUCUUGGACAGGUAUUAUUCUAGUUUCUUCUUCUAGGCAACAUGUAAGUGGGAAAUGUUUGUAUAUCUUGCAUACACAUUGUGUUAUUGAACUAUAUAUGCACAUAUUUUAUUUUGAUUGUUUUGGUUGGUGCAACAUAGAUAUCUUUACUCAAUGACAUUAAGAGUAGACAUGAGGGUAAAAAGGAGGGAUGCAGAGGUAUGGAUGUCCCACAAGAUGCUUCCUGAAGAUCUGAAGGAAGGUGUGACACUCUAUGAACAAAAGAAAACGGGAAGUCAAUGAAGAAUCUCUUGUUCACAAGCUGCCCGAGGACUUAUGGAAGGACAUAAAGCUCAAUGGACAAUACAACUGGCAACCAAACUGCCAAAUUGUUCAUGUAAAAUAACAUCAGGCAUAUAUAAUAAUAUUUCAUACUGCUCCAAGUAUAGAAAAAAAUCCACAAAUCAGUAGCAUCACAAGGCUGUUUGGAAGGUUUUAUUAUCAAACCCAACAACCUAUUCCUUAUAUUGCCUUUUCCAUUGUAAUUGACCCCUUUAUUUUUUAUUUGAUUACAUUGUAAUAUUGAGUUUGGACAUAUGUUAAUAUAUA